AACUUCGGGAUAAGGAUUGGCUCUGAAGAUUGAGAUAGUCGGGCUUGAUUGGGAAACAAUAACAUGGUUUAUGUGCUCGUUCUGGGUAAAUAGAGUUUCUAUCAUUUAUGAUAGUUAUUUGUUCCCCGGAUAGUUAGUUACGUAGCCAAUUGUGGAACUUUCUUGCUAAAAUUUUUAAGAAUACUAAUUUUUAAUUAGUUCUUUUAAAUUAUAACGAUUAUCAAUUAACAAUCAAUUCAGAACUGGCACGGACUUGGGGAAUCCGACUGUCUAAUUAAAACAAAGCAUUGUGAUGGCCCUAGCGGGUGUUGACACAAUGUGAUUUCUGCCCAGUGCUCUGAAUGUCAAAGUGAAGAAAUUCAAGUAAGCGCGGGUCAACGGCGGGAGUAACUAUGACUCUCUUAAUGCCUCGUCAUCUAAUUAGUGACGCGCAUGAAUGGAUUAACGAGAUUCCUACUGUCCCUAUCUACUAUCUAGCGAAACCACAGCCAAGGGAACGGGCUUGGAAUAAUUAGCGGGGAAAGAAGACCCUUUUGAGCUUGACUCUAAUCUGGCAGUGUAAGGAGACAUAAGAGGUGUAGAAUAAGUGGGAGAUAUUAUUCCUUGUGUUUGAUAUCGCCAAUGAAAUACCACUACUCUUAUUGUUUCCUUACUUACUUGAUUAAAUGGAACGUGUAUCAUUUCCUAGCCAUUAUACGGAUAUAUUUAUUAUAUCUUAUGGUAUUGGGUUUUGAUGCAAGCUUCUUGAUCAAAGUAUCACGAGUUUGUUAUAUAAUCGCAAACAAAUUCUUUAAUGAGAGAGUGCAUUUAUGUAUUUUUAAUUUGAAGUAUUUGGUAUAACUCCAAUUACUCAGGUAUGAUCCAAUUCAAGGACAUUGCCAGGUAGGGAGUUUGACUGGGGCGGUACAUCUCUCAAAUAAUAACGGAGGUGUCCCAAGGCCAGCUCAGUGCGGACAGAAACCACACAUAGAGCAAAAGGGCAAAUGCUGACUUGAUCUCGGUGUUCAGUACACACAGGGACAGCAAAAGCUCGGCCUAUCGAUCCUUUUGGUUUAAAGAGUUUUUAACAAGAGGUGUCAGAAAAGUUACCAUAGGGAUAACUGGCUUGUGGCGGCCAAGCGUUCAUAGCGACGUCGCUUUUUGAUCCUUCGAUGUCGGCUCUUCCUAUCAUUGUGAAGCAAAAUUCACCAAGCGUUGGAUUGUUCACCCAUGCAAGGGAACGUGAGCUGGGUUUAGACCGUCGUGAGACAGGUUAGUUUUACCCUACUAAUGACAAAACGUUGUUGCGACAGCAUUCCUGCGUAGUACGAGAGGAACCGCAGGUACGGACCAAUGGCACAAUACUUGUUCGAGCGAACAGUGGUAUGACGCUACGUCCGUUGGAUUAUGCCUGAACGCCUCUAAGGUCGUAUCCGUGCUGGACUGCAAUGAUAAAUAAGGGGCAAUUUGCAUUGU
rnacentral:rRNA from 1 species